GAAGCGGUGGGUUUGGGGGCAGGGUGGUGCUGGGGGUGUGCUUGGGACGGGGACGCGCGCGUGCGCCCCAGGGAGCGGGCCGGUCGCGUGGCGCGCGCACACGCGUGUGCCGGGCUGUGCACGUGCACCCACGUGUGUGUGUGUGUGUGUGCACGCACGCUCAUAGACACCUACGCGUGCUCAUACGUGUGCGCGCACGCGUAUGUAGGCGUCCCCCUCUGCGUGUGCACGCUCACGCGCAUGCACGCGCUCCUCCGUGUGUGUGCACGCUCCUACAUCCACGUGCACGCUCCCACAUACGUGUGCAUGCUCGUGCAUGUGUGUGCAUGCUCGUACGUCCCUGCACACGCUCCCACACGUGUGUUCGUGCUCCCGCAUCUGUGUGCACGCUCCCACACGCGUGUGCAUGCUCCCACACGCGUGUGCACGCUCCUAUGCGCGUGUGCAUGCUCCCACGCGCACGUGCACGCUUCCACACGUUCUCACAUGCGUGUGCACGCUCCCACGUGCUCCUACGUGCACGCGCACGCCCCCGCACACGUGUGCACGCUCCCACACGCCCCCCUCCCGGCCCGCAGGCACCGAGCCACGUCUACGGGGGCCACGGCAGCCACGUCACCAAUGUGCGCUUCACCCACGACGACGGGCACCUGGUGUCGCUGGGGGGCAAGGACACCAGCGUCUUCCAGUGGCGGGUGCUGGGGGGGCCCCCGGUGCCCGCCCGCUGCCCCGAGCCCCCCGGGGGGGCCGCGGAGCCCCGCUGAGCCGGGCCCGGGGCCGCCCCCGUUACCCCCCGACGCGGGACCAGGGGGGGCCCCGCCCCCCCCCUCAAAUAAAGCCUUGGAGCAGGCGCCCGGCUCCCCGCCUGCUUCCUGCCGCCGUUACCGGGCCCCGCUUCCGGUCCAUGCCCGGAAGCGGCCGCCCGUUUCCCGGAAGCGGCGGGAGAUGGAACGGCUCCGUGCCGGGAGCGCUCGGGGGGGGGGGGGGGGAUCGGUUCCGGAAAGGCCCGAAGGCGGCCCGAAGGUGUUCCGGAGAUACCCGAACCGCGGUCCGGAAGCGCUCGGGGCUCCGGCGGAACUUACCGAGCCCCUUCCGGAAGAACCCGAAGGCGAGCCGAGACCGCUCCGGAGGCUCCCGAACUCUUCCCGAGCUCCCUCCGAAGAUUUCCGAGGCCUCUCCGAAAGCUCCCGAGGCGGCAGCGGAGCCGUUCCGAAAAGAGCCGAGUGUGUCCGGAAACUCCCGAGGCCGUAGCGAGGCCGUUCCGAAAACAGCCGAGCCUUUCCGAAAGCCCCCGAGGCUGUAGCGAAGCGGUUCCGGAAGCAGCCGAGCGUCUCCGGAAGCUCCCGAGGCCGUAGCGAGGCCGUGCCGAAAACAGCCGAGCCUCUCCGCGAGCUCCCGAAGCCUCUCCGGAAGCAGCCGAGCCUCUCCGGAAACCCCCGAAGGCCUUCCGGAAAGAGCCGAGCGGCUCCGGAGGCGCCCGAAGGGCUCGUGCCGGUGCGGAGGCGGCGGGAGCGGGAGGCGAUGAAGCGCGGCCGGGGCCCGGCCCGGGGGUAGCGCGGCCGAGCCGAGCGGCCAUGGCGGCCAACAUGUACC
ensembl:lncRNA